AAGCUGCUGAUCAAAGAAGAGUUGAAAAUUGAAAGAACUCAUUCACAGUAACUUGUCUCUUUUCCCACAGAUUUACCUUGUAAGGGAAAACAAAAUAAAGCACAAAAUUAAAUCGACCAACAAGAAAAUGGCAGACACCUGUCUUUUUUCUGGAGAAACGGAAGUUUGCCGGGUAUGACUCUCUUUAAUUCUGAGCAAGUUGGCGCAGCAUGGAGCGACAGCAUCGAAAGGCUGCCCCCUGGUGGACAGGAAGGACGAGUGUUUGACCUGGAGUCGGGAGACAGAGAAGCCUUAAACUGUGGGUUUCUCAUUGAGUUUUUUAGUUCUGAGUGGUUCUUAAACUGACCUCAACUCUUGACUCUUUGACUUGAGACUCAGUGACAUUAGUCCUCUCAUGAACACAGCUUUUUCGUGUUUCAUACGAGAUAAAACAAAAGCCCGACUUAAGGAUCCAAUGCCAUGCGACACUAGCAGAGCUCCUCCGCAGAACAGAAGCAGCGCCUACUCCUCCUCCUUACUGAAAGCAUACUUGUUACUCUUGGAAAUGACUAAGUGGUUCUUAGCGUCGUCACCUUCCCAGAAGAACAAGAAUACAGGUGAGCACCAAACUUGGCGCUCCACAGUGCCACCGUCUGGUCAUUUCCGUUUCUGCAGACUUCAGCAAGCUGAACUUCAAAGGAUGAACUCAACCUUGCUAAAUCCAUGGGAGGCGGAUGGGGAAGGAUUUACUGUCAUCCUUUGAGAAAUGCGCGCAGAGCCUUCAGAUCCGUGAGAGUCUUAAGGUAUUAAAAUAGAUAAGUGGCAAGUAAG
ensembl:lincRNA